rnacentral:lncRNA from 1 species
AUACAAAAAUAGAUUAUACAUGAAUUCAAAAUUGUUUAUUUAUGGACAUGCAAAAACUCAAUCAAGUUUUAUGAUGCACUAAAUAUCAUAUUCUACACAAUUCUGGAUAUUCGACAAUACCGAUAAUUAUAUCUCCAAACAUCUUCAGAGUAUGAUAAUUACAAUUCAUGAUUUACAUAGAUAUAUCGUAAAGACACUUUCUUUGCUAAUAUAUCUCAUAGAAAUACCAUUGGGUGUUUGGUUCUACCCUAAUUCUUGAGAUCAUCAGCACAUGAGAUAAUUGUGUAACUAUCAUGCAUCUCAUAUUCUCAACUAAUAUCACUAGAUGAUCACCAAACAAUUUCUUCAACUGUCAAAAUAUAUACUUCAAGAUCUAUUUCUUACUACUCUAUAGCACAAGAUUGCACAAGUCUAAUAACUAUUUGUGCUCAACUAGCUCUCAUACUUAAUUGUCAUUUGCAUAUCUAUUCCAAUAACAAGUUAUUCCCUCAAUAACAAAUAGAAAAACUAAUAGCAGCACCCUUUAAGUAUCACAAUACAUUAUUUGAGGAUAACAUCAAUACCCACUGACUAGAUUCUUGGCAUGACAAAUAUUAUGGCAAGCAUACACCAUAGCAUAAUUUCAGUUCCUAACUUUUAAUCGUACUAGAUAUAGUUCUCUGGGUAUUUC